GCCCGGCUAGCUCUGUCGGUUGAGCACGAGACUCUUAAUCUCGGGUUCGGGCCCCACGUUGGGUG